rnacentral:rRNA from 1 species
UUCGGGGGACAGGGUGACAGGUGGUGCAUGGUUGUCGUCAGCUCGUGUCGUGAGAUGUUGGGUUAAGUCCCCGCAACGAGCGCAACCCUGACCUUAGUUGCCAGCAUUCAGUUGGGCACUCUAAGGUGACUGCCGGCUAAAAGUCGGAGGAAGUGGGGAUGACGUCAAAUCAUCAUGCCCCUUAUGACCUGGGCUACACACGUGCUACAAUGGGCGGUACAAAGGGUCGCGAACCCGCGAGGGGGAGCCAAUCCCAAAAAGCCGCUCUCAGUUCGGAUUGCAGGCUGCAACUCGCCUGCAUGAAGCCGGAAUCGCUAGUAAUCGCGGAUCAGCAUGCCGCGGUGAAUACGUUCCCGGGCCUU